rnacentral:lncRNA from 1 species
UCUGUGUUGUUAUGUGCUUUGCUACAUAUAGUAGCCAAAUUUCCCUCAAAUAACACUCUACCAUUUUAAAAAGAACGACAGAGUUCAGUUAGUUCAGGAAUGUAGAAUCUUAACAUUUUGACCAUUGUCCUUCAUCCGGAGUGAGGAGUGGUGUUGUUGCUAGGGUUUUUAGUAAGCAUUGCAAAUGCAGACCAUCACCAGUUUACCUUGAUGUAGCUUUUUGGUUUGGCUGUGGUUAAGAAGUUUGCUUCCCAGCUGCAUGGCUUCCCGGUUAAAUCUCAGUGUGUGGCAUCUUCAGCAACUGUUUUCUACUGUAGCCCUGGGCUGACCAAAGCCUUGUGAGUGGAUUAGGUUGAGAGAAACUGAAAGAAGCCUGUCGUGUGUGUGUGUGUGUGUGUGUGUCUCCUUGUCUUGACAUUAUGUCAGUGUUGUAAAUAAACACCAUAUGUUUCCAAUAUCCUGUGAAAAAUGUUUGGCCACUGAGAAUGAUUACCUUAUUUGGAAACAGGUAAAGGUUGGCAAUAAGAAAGGCAUCUGGCUAUAGAAAAUCUACCUCACCAAAUUUCAUUUGGCCCAUGCAAACGUGGAGAAGCGAACGUUGAAAAACAUUGAUGGUAAUGAUGAUGCAGUGUGUGUGUAAAUGAGAUGACUUCUGCUGAAACCCUUUUGAUAAUAGGUCUACUGGAUUGCUGUAGCUGACCUCGGGCUACUCAACAAUCACCUUGACCACUAAAUAUUCCAAUGGUGAUGAUGUUAUUGCUGCUUAGCUCUUGGUCUGUUGUGACCGAGAAGUGAAAGAUAUUGAAUCCAUGGACUUCUCGUUCCUUUUUCGAGUAUUGUACAUCUCAGAUCACGUUAUCCAAGUAUUCCAAGUCAGUAGAAUAUAUUAUAUUAACAUUUGGUUGCUAUUUCCAGCAAGCCAAGCAACUACAUAGAAGUUCCCUCAUCAGCUUGUUGAUGCUGUUUCGUUUUGUUUUGGUUUAACCCCAGUUCAACCUAAUCUAUCAGACCUAAGGUCAAAGAUACUCCAUCCAUGGUAACCCUCUAUUGAGGUGUGCAUCAUCCACUGUUUCCGAAAUAUUUGGCUGCUAUUUCUAGCAAGUGGAUUGAUUAUAUAGAAGCUUCCUUGUAGGCUGAUCUUUGAUACUUUAGUUGCAGCUGGAAAUGUAAAAUACAUUAUAUAUCAUCAUCAUCAUCAUCAUCAUCAUUUAACAUCCAUUUUUCCUUGCUGGUAUGAGUUGGAUACUUUGAAGACUGCACCAGGUUCUGUUGUCUGCUUUGGUAUGGUUUCUAUGACUGGAUGCCCUUCCAAAUGUCAGCCACUUUACAGUGUGUAUUGAGUGCUUUUUGCAUGGCACCAGCACUGGAGGCAGGGGUCACCAAGAAACAUAGCAAGACAAAGACCCCCUUAACUAGGAUUGGGAAUAGUAUUUAAGAAGAUGGCUUUUUUCCAGUUGAUGAGAAGUGGAAAAGUAUAAUAAGAGGGAUUGAGAUAGGGGUCUUAACUGUAGAAGAGAUUACAUGGCCAUCCCAGUUGGAAAAGAAAGAAAGAGGGACAGAGUCAAAGAUUGAGAGAGAGAGAGAGAGAGAGAUUUCUGAAGGAGUUUUGUUUUUAUUUUUUACUUAUGACCAACAAAAUGAAUUGAGAAUUGUUCUCAUAAUUUUAUGAUCUUGCCUGUGCUCAAACAUUCCUCGGUGGAAAGGUUUUCUCUCAUAGGCAAUAUUUGUGCAUUUACUCCAGAUUGAUAUAAUUAUAAAUUUUUAACAACAUCCAUACCUUCCGAACCUCUAUGCUGAUCAUCAUCUUUGAGUGUGUCUUCAAACUUGUCAUUAUUGUUGCUGAAAUAAUCAUUAAUUCAGUUUGUUUUGUCAUCACUUGAUUCAGUAUUCUAGUUUGCAAACAACCUUAUGAAUCUGUGUCUUCAUUUAAUGUCUAGUCUGUUUUUCUAUGUUGGCAUGGGUCAGGCAGGUUGACAGGAUCUGAUGAGCUGCAGAUCUGCCUUAAGCUCCAAUGACAGCCUUGGGUUGGUCUCUGCAGUUGAAUGUUCAUCCUAAAGCCAACCACUUUACUCUGUAUAUAACACAAAUACUCUUUUACUCUUUUACUUGUUUCAGUCAUUUGACUGCGGCCAUGCUGGAGCACCGCCUUUAGUCGAACAAAUCGACCCCGGGACUUAUUCUUUGUAAGCCCAGUACUUAUUCUAUCGGUCUCUUUUUGCCAAACUGCUAAGUGACGGGGACGUAAACACACCAGCAUCGGUUGUCAAGCAAUGCUAGGGGGACAAACACAGACACACAAACACAGACACACAAACACACACACACACAUAUAUAUAUAUACAUAUAUAUGACAGGCUUCUUUCAGUUUCCGCCUACCAAAUCCACUCACAAGGCAUUGGUCGGCCCAGGGCUAUAGCAGAAGACACUUGCCCAAGGUGCCACGCAGUGGGACUGAACCCGGAACCAUGUGGUUGGUUAGCAAGCUACUUACCACACGGCCACUCUAAAUGAUGCUGAAAAUUAAUAAACUUACCAUAUUAUUUAACCAUGGCACUUGUAUCAUCUGUUACAACUGCAAUUAUAUUGUUUUCCAAAUCAAAGUUGGGUUCAAUUUUGUUUCUGAAAGUUCAAUAACUUUUUCAUCAGUUGAUCUUCAUCCUGCUCCUCCCUAUUUGAUACCAGUCUUCCUUGCUGGCAUGGAUGGGUUGGAUGCUUUGACACAAUCUGACUGGACGGAGGACUAUGAUGAGCAUCAAUGCCUUUCUUUGACAUGAUUUCUGUAGCUGGGUGUCCUUCCUAAUUCCAGCCAUUUCACAAAAUGUACUGGGAGCACCAGUGAGAUUGCCAGAUGACUCAUGAAACCCCUGUGAAAAAAGCCCUUCAUGGACAGAGGAUAAGAAAGGACAGGUGGGCAAGUUCGUGAAAGUAUGAAAGAACAAGGAUGACAGAUGGUUAGAGAUGAGGGUAAAGAUGAACAAGAUGGGUGGUGGGUGUUUGAUGGUAAAUAUCAAUAAGGUGUGAGGGGAGGUGAAAGAUGUAGGAGUGGCUCAGGAAAGAGAGAGAGGAUAAGGGACAGUAAAGGAAGGGUGGAGAAGAGCUGUAAGCUUAUAGAAGACAGGUCAGAAAAUAGGGUGAUGAUGUGCAGGAAGGGAGAGAGAGAGAUGUACAGUGAUAGGGAUGGAGGUCGGAGGUAUGUAGGGGUGGCUUAGUGAGUAGGGGGAUAGGAAGGGGGAAGGCUUCCGAUGGCACAAAUACUAGGGGGUGUUAAAAGAUGAGGUAUUUCCUUAAACCCUGAUCAUUCCUUACUUUUGUACAUACUGCCACAUUAUAAUAAAUACAUUGUACCGCUUAGACAUAUUGUUCUGACCCAUGCAAGCUUGGAAAAGUAGAUGUUAAAAUGAUGAUGAUGAUAACCUGUACAUAAUUAUAUUAAACGUAUAUUUGUACACACCUACACACAAUCACAUAUUUGUACAUACUCAUACAUUUGUGCACCCCCACUACAUAUGCAUAUAUAUUUGUACACCACCACACAUUAUACAUACAUUUGUACAAACCCUUGUAUAUAUUGAGACAUGUUUGUUCUUUUCUUUCUCCAUUUUUUACUCCCCUCGUCUUUUCUUUCUGUAAAAGAGUGUAUACUCAAAAUAUAAAAGAAACUUUUCCUUCUAUUUUUCCUCAGUGUAAGUCUUAUACGCCAUUUUUUUUUUUAACCUCAUCUUUGUGUAUUUUUAUUUUUGCACCAAAUGUAUAUCCAUAUAGAUGUAAUUAUGCUACACAUAUCUAUAUAUGUGUAUAUGCAUCCACGCAUAAUGAUGUUAUUUGUACAAGCCUACACAUAAUUAUAUAUACAUUUUUACACACCCACAUCCUAUACUUACCUGGCUACAUGUCCACACAUAAUAUAUACUUUUAUACACACCCAUAUCUCCUUUCUUAUAGAAAAUGAUCAAAUGAAUGAGGUGUUGGCCCAGUUGAUCAACAUCUCAAAGUCUACUUGAAGCUCUUUUGUUGUUGAUGUUGUUUAGCCCAGUUAAGGGCACCAGUUGAGCAGGUCUGUGAUCACUGGUGCUCCAUGUGUCUGUUGUAUAUGUAUUGAUAUAUUUGAAAGGCGGCGAGCUGGCAGAAAUGUUAGCAUGCCGGACGAAAUGCUUAGCAGUAUUUCGUCUGCCGCUACAUUCUGAGUUCAAAUUCUGCCGAGGUCGACUUUGCCUUUCAUCCUUUCGAAGUCGAUUAAAUAAGUACCAGUUACACACUGGGGUCGUUAUAAUCGACUUAAUCCAUUUGUCUGUCCUUAUAUGUCCUCUCUGUGUUUAGCCCCUUGUGAGUAGUAAAGAAAUGGGUAUUUCGUCUGCCGCUACGUUCUGAGUUCAAAUCCGCCGAGGUCGACUUUGCCUUUCAUCCUUUCAGGGCCGAUUAAAUAAGUACCAGUUAUGCACUGGGGUCGAUGUAAUGGACUUAAUCCAUUUGUCUGUCCUUGUUUGUCCUCUCUGUGUUUAGCCCCUUGUGGGUAGUAAAGAGAUAGGUAUACUUGAAAUUGAUGCUUUACCCCAUUGCUUCUCUGAGUUUCAUAUUUCUCUUACAUUCUUCAAGGAACAUGUAUUAAGCACUUACACCCCCCCACACACACUGCUGUAUGGUUAAGAGGUUUGCUUUCCAACCACAUAGUUUCGGGUUCAGGCCUACUGUGUGGUGCCUUGGGCAAGUGUAUUCUGUUAUGGUACAGGGCUGACGAAACCUUGUGAAUAAAUUCGGUAGAUGAAAACAGCGUUGAGGGUCUAAUCUGCAUGUGUGUGUGCAUGUAUAUAUAUAUAUAUUUAUUUAUUUAUAUAGAUGUGUGUGUGUGUGUGUGCCUUGACAUCGCAAUAGUUGUGUCCUUUAUUUUGAACCUUGCUUGGAAACAUGUUUGGCCAUGGGGGAAAUAUAACCUUGCUUGGAAACAUGUUUGGCCAUGGGGGAAAUAUAACCUUGCUUGGAAACAUGUUUGGCCAUGGGGGACUUAUAACCUUGCUUGGAAACAUGUUUGGCCAUGGGGGAAAUAUAACCUUGCUUGGAAACAUGUUUGGCCAUGGGGGACAUAUAACCUUGCUUGGAAACAUGUUUGGCCAUGGGGGAAAUAUAACCUUUCUUGGAAACAUGUUUGGCCAUGGGGAAAAUAUAACCUUUCUUGGAAACAUGUUUGGCCAUGGGGGAAAUAUAACCUUGCUUGGAAACAUGUUUGGCCAUGGGGGAAAUAUAACCUUGCUUGGAAACAUGUUUGGCCAUGGGGGACAUAUAACCUUGCUUGGAAACAUGUUUGGCCAUGGGGGAAAUAUAACCUUGCUUGGAAACAUGUUUGGCCAUGGGGGAAAUAUAACCUUGCUUGGAAACAUGUUUGGCCAUGGGGGAAAUAUAACCUUGCUUGGAAACAUGUUUGGCCAUGGGGGAAAUAUAACCUUGCUUGGAAACAAGUGAGGGUUGGUGACAGGUCGGACAUCUGGCCGUAGAAAACCCACCUCAACAAAUUCUGUCCAACUCAGGCAAGCGUGGAAAAAGGGACAGUAAAAUGAUGAUAAGGAGGAAGAAUUUCUUUUAUUCUCUGUUUAUAUAUAAGUGUGUGUGUGUGUGAUCAUCAUCAUCAUUGUUUAAUGUCCGCCUUCCAUGCUGGCAGAGAGUGUGAGAGAAGGGAGUAUGGGUAUGAUGGGAGAGCAAAAGUGAUUGGUACAACAUAUGGUAGAGGAAGAAGUAAUGGAAGAGAUACAGUGAUAGGUAGUCAUGUUGAUUGUUGGUAAAGAGAUAGAAUAGGAAAACAGGAUGUGUAGUAUGAGGGGAGAGGAGGGAAUGUUAGUAAUGAAGGCGGUGAGCUGGCAGAAAUGUUAGCAUGCCGGGCGAAAUGCUUAGUGGUAUUUCGUCUGUCUUUAUGUUCUGAGUUCAAAUUCUGCCGAGGUCGACUUUGCUUAACAUCCUUUCAGGGUCGAUAAAAUAAGUACCAGUUGCAUACUGGGGUCGAUCUAAUCGACUGGCCCCGUCCCACAAAAUUUUGGGUCUUGUGCCUAGAGUAGAAAAGGAUAGGAGUAAUGAAAGUGAGAGAGUGAUGAGGGUCAACAGAGAGUGAUUAUAUACAUCUCCCUCUGUCUUUACACACACACACACACACACAAACGUGUGCAUGCAUUUUCCUCUACUGUUCCCCAUCUCUAUCCUCCACUCUUCUUCACACUCCCACAAAUUUACUUACCCAGCCAUGCCACUUCUCUUAUAUUCACCUUCUUAUAACUCAAGGGUGCCACCUGACAUGUCUCUUAUAACUCAAGAGUACCUCCUGACAUGUCUCUUAUAACUCAAGGGUGCCACCUGACAUGUCUCUUAUAACUCAAGGGUGCCACCUGACAUGUCUCUUAUAACUCAAGGGUGCCUCCUGACAUGUCUCUUAUAACUCAAGGGUUCCACCUGACAUGUCUCUUAUAACUCAAGAGUGCCUCCUGACAUGUCUCUUAUAACUCAAGGGUGCCACCUGACAUGUCUCUUAUAACUCAAGGGUGCCACCUGACAUGUCUCUUAUAACUCAAGGGUGCCACCUGACAUGUCUCUUAUAACUCAAGGGUGCCACCUGACAUGUCUCUUAUAACUCAAGAGUGCCUCCUGACAUGUCUCUUAUAACUCAAGGGUGCCACCUGACAUGUCUCUUAUAACUCAAGGGUGCCACCUAACAUGUCUCUUAUAACUCAAGAGUGCCUCCUGACAUGUCUCUUAUAACUCAAGGGUGCCACCUGACAUGUCUCUUAUAACUCAAGGGUGCCACCUGACAUAUCUCUUAUAACUCAAGGGUGCCACCUGACAUGUCUCUUAUAACUCAAGGGUGCCACCUGACAUGUCUCUUAUAACUCAAGGGUGCCACCUGACAUGUCUCUUAUAACUCAAGGGUGCCACCUGACAUGUCUCUUAUAACUCAAGGGUGCCACCUGACAUGUCUCUUAUAACUCAAGGGUGCCACCUGACAUGUCUUCCUUCUUUUUUUUUUUUCCAAGUGAGGUAAUGAUGUAUUUCUCCUACAGUAAGACAACUGUACCUUUCCCUCUCGGCUUACAGGGUCUUGUCUUGCAUGUUACUUAGUAUCUUCACGAGUGCUGGUUCCACAUAAAAAGCCCCCAGUAGACACUUUGUAAACUGGUUGGCAUCAGGAAGGGCAUCCAGCUGUAGAAUCUGUGCGGAAGCAGACAUUAGGGUUUGAUGCUGUCUUCUGGCUCACUGGCUCCUGUUGAACUGUUCAACCCAUGCUAGCAUGGGCAAUGGACAAUAAAUGAUGGUGACGAUGCCCAUACGUACACACACGCAAUGAUACGCUUUGUAGUUGUAUGGAAAUUAAUAUGUUAAUAUACUAAACCACUCCAGUGUGUUAUUGUUAGGUUUUCCAAAAGUCAUUUAUGUAAUCUAUUUUAAUUGUUCAUAAAUUAACUGAUAAAAGAAAACAAAAAAAAUUAGACACAAUUUUGGGAGUGUUAUUCUGUCAUUAAAGCAUACACUAGUUGUUAUUAUUAUUAUUAUCAAAGGCAGCUGAUUGGCAGAACCAUUAAAGUAGCAGCAUAUAAUUGCUUUGCAGUAUUUGUUGUGGCUCUUUGCAUUAUGAGUUCAAAUCCUGCCAAGGUUAACUUUUCCUUUCAUUCUUUUGGGGUCAGUUAAAUAAGUACCAGUUGAGCCCUGGGAUCAAUGUAAUUGACUUGUCCCUUCCCCUAAAAUGGGUGGCCUUGGACCAAAAUUUGAAUUAUUAUUUUUAAAGUUAACUGAGAAGUCUUGUUGAGUCAAGUAAAACCAAUAUUGUAGCUGUGGCCAGUGCCCCCUGACUGGCUCCCAUGCUGGUGGAAUGUAAAAAGCACCAACCGAAUGUGGCCGAUGCCAGAAACCCCUGACUCGGUCUUGUGCUGGAAGUACGUAAAAAGCACUAUCUGAAUGUGGCCGAUGCCAGUGCCCCCUGACUGACCCCUGUGCUGGAGGUACGUAAAAAGCACUAUCUGAAUGUGAUCGAUGCCAGGCCCACCUGACUGGCUCCUGUGCUGGCGGAAUGUAAAAAGCACCCACUACACUCUCGGAGUGGUUGGCAUUAGGAAGGGCAUCCAGCUGUAGAAACAUUGCCAGAUCAAGAUUGGAGCUUGGUGCAGCCGUUGGCUCUCCAGACCUCUGUCAAACCAUCCAACCCAUGCCAGCAUGGAAAAUGGACAUUAAACAAUGAUGAUGAUUGAUUGAUUGUUAGUUAGUUAGUGUUAGACAAAAUGUAUUGCAUGUAUUCUGGGGAUUUUCAUGUUUCAAGUUCAAAUUACACUCACAUCAACUUUGUUUUGCCACUUUCCAAGGUUGAUAAAAUGAAGAACCAGUUGCUUAUGUCAGAAUUUCAGGUGGGUUCUUUCACCUGUCUAUGACUGUGUUUUUAACACCUGGUGCUUUGAAGGAAUCAUCUCCACUGCACCACACUGCAGCCUGCUGGCAAACAAGCAAAGCACAUACAUUGACUAUGUGUGUUCGAUAAUGUUUACAACACUAACUUGGCUUCUAAUUCAUAUUUGUGUUUAUCCUUAUGUAUGUAUUGCCCAGGCAUGCCAGCAAAUGGUUUUUUUAUUUUAAUGCUAUUUACAUAUAAGCGCAGGAGUGGCUGUGUGGUACGUAGCUUGCUUCCAAACCACAUGGUUCUGAGUUCAGUCCUACUGCGUGGCACCUUGGGUAAGUAUCUUCUACUCUAGCCUCAGGCCAACCAAAGCCUUGUGAGUGGAUUUGGUAGACGAAAACUGAAAGAAUCCCGUUGUGCAUAUAUAUAUAUAUAUAUAUAUAUAUAUACUCUUACUCUUUUACUCUUUUACUUGUUUCAGUCAUCCGACUGCGGCCAUGCUGGAGCACCGCCUUUAGUCGAGCAAAUCAACCCCGGGACUUAUUCUUUGUAAGCCCAGUACUUAUUCUAUCGGUCUCUUUUGCCGAACCGCUAAGUGACGGGGACGUAAACACGCCAGCAUCGGUUGUCAAGCAAUGCUAGGGGGACAGACACACAAACACACACACAUACAAAUACAUAUAUAUAUAUAUAUAUACAUAUAUACGACAGGCUUCUUUCAGUUUCCGUCUACCAAAUCCACUCACAAGGCAUUGGUCGGCCCGGGGCUAUAGCAGAAAACACUUGCCCAAGAUGCCACGCAGUGGGACUGAACCCGGAACCAUGUGGUUGGUUAGCAAGCUACUUACCACACAGCCACUCCUGCGCCUAUUAUAUAUAUAUAUAUAUGUGUGUGUGUUUGUGUGUCUUUGUCAUCCCAACAUCGCUUGACAACCGACACUGGUGUGUUUCUGUCCCCUUAACUUAGUGAUUGGGGGCGAUUUGCUCGACUAAAAGGUGGUGCUCCAGCAUGGCCACAGUCAAAUGACUGAAACAAAUAAAAGAGUAAAGGGUAUAGUCAAGGACUGGCAAUUCUGUUCUCCUCCAAUUCAUUUCAUGAAUGAGGUUGAGAAGCCACAAAAUUGGCGAAAUGUUGAUGCCCGUUGCUCCUGAAUGGGAUUUGGAGUUUGUCGUGUCACUAGUCUAUGACUUUCAGGUGUUUUAACCCCUGGCGCUGAGAUGGAGUCAUCUCUACUGUGACGAUUUGCGGCCUACUGGCAAACAAGCAGAUCACAUACACUAAGUAUGUGUGUUUGAUUAUAUAUAUAUUUAUGUGUAUAUAUCAUCAUCAUCAUCGUUUAACGUCCGUUUUCCGCGCUAGCACGGGUUGGACGGUUCGACCGUGUUUAUAUAUAUAUAUAUAUAUAUAUAUAUAUGGGUGUGUGUGUAUAUAUGGGUGUGUGUGUAUAUAUGUGUGUGUGUGUAUUUAUGUAUAUAUGUGUAUAUAUGUGUAUGUAUGUAUAUAUAUAUAUGUAUGUAUGUAUGUAUAUAUAUAUAUAUGUAUAUAUAUAUAUGUAUAUAUAUAUAUGUAACUUAGAAUAACUUAGAAAGGUUUUUGGCCAGUAUUGGCCCAGGCCAUGUCUAACUUAAUAGCACCACCUGGCGAAGUUUUUCAGUUCAGGAUUUGGGCACCAAGGCCCAUUCGAGCAGAGAGUUAUUGUUUGCGGAGACAUAUCCGGGUGUGGAUGGUUUGUCCGGUACUGUUUGAAGGAAUUUGUCCAAGGACUUCUUGAAUUUUGUGUGGUCAGUUUCUUUUUUGACGUGUCCGGGUGUAAUGUUGAAGAGAGCGGGUCCAAUUGAGGUGAAAUAGUUGUGCCGUAUUGUCGUUAUGUGAUGCGAUUUAGAUUUUUGUUGUGGACGGAUGGCACGUGGUCCAAGCCUUGGAUGCAUUUUGAAGGUGAUGCCAACAUCAUUCGGACAGUGCUGAUGGAAUAUUUUCCACAUCAUACAGAUAAUGUAGCGUUCACGGCGUCGUUGGAGUGAAUACAAUUUCAGCUUCUCUAGUCUACCCCAGUAGUCAAGGUCUGACAUGCCAUCUAUCUUUUUUGUGAUUGACCUUUGGGGAGCUUCAAUUCUCAUAAUAUUUUGUUUUGUGUAGGGAGACCACAGUGGACAGCAGUAUUCAAGGUGGGGUCGGGCAAAAGUGGAGAAGAGAAGGAUAAUAGCGUGGGAAUCUCUCGACUGGAAGGUUCUGAGAAUCCAGGAACACAUUCUGCGGGCCAUGUCAACUUUGCUGCUUAUAUGUGUAGCCCAGCUUAUGUUGUUGUCCACUGUUACUCCCAGGUCUCUGAUGUUGUUGGAUGCCAUGAGAAUUUCUCCAGAAGGAAGAGAGUAUGGGAGUUUCAGAGCGUCCUCCCUUCCAAAGUGGAUCAGUUCGAAUUUGUCUUCAUUUAGCAACAUGUUAUUCUUUUCCGCCCAUUGGACAACAGCCAGUAGGUCUGACUGAAGGUUUAUUCGGUCAUCCACGCCAUUGAUGACCUUCUGGAGCUUGGAAUCAUCAGCGAAGGUUCUGAUGUUGCUGUGUUUGAUGGUGUCAGUAAUAUCAUUUAUGUAGAUGAUGAAGAGAAGUGGGCCCAACACAGUGCCUUGUGGGACACCACUGCUGACUUUGGCUGGGCUGGAUUUGACUCCUUCGACUACAACAUGUUGGGUUCUGUUAGAGAGGAAGCACUUGAUCCAUUGCAGCAGCUUUCCAGUGACACCAAUAUUGGACAGCUUUCUCAGAAGGAUCUUAUGAUCAACCCUGUCAAAGGCCUUGCUGAAAUCAAGGUAGAUGACAUCAGUGUUGGAACCCUCUCCCAAGGCUCUCAAAAUGUCAUCAAAAUGAUGCAGUAGCUGCGUCAGGCAAUCUCUCCCAUUACGGAAUCCAUGCUGGUUGGGGUUCAGCAUAUUAUGACUCUCAAGGAAGUGAGUCAUACGCGAUCUCAGCACCCUCUCAAAUACCUUGAUGAUAUGAGAGGUGAGUGAGAUUGGACGGUAAUUCACGGCAAGCGAUUUGUUUCCUUUUUUGAAAACUGGGACAACAGACUGGGAUAGAAGGUCUUCUGGUAUAUAUCCAGCAUCCAAUGAGUUCCGCCACAGAUUGGCUAGAGGGGGUGCAAGUUGGUUUUGACACAUCUUCAAGACACAAGCAGGGAACCUAUCGGGACCUACUGCUGAAUUAUGCUUCAUUUCCUUUAUUGCUGCUAAGACAUCAGGAGCGCCAAAUGUUAUGUCCGAUAAAGUGUAUUGGGGAGUAACAUCACUGAUACAGCCCAGAUCAGUCAUAUCAGGAUUGCUGAAAACAGAGCAAUAUUGUUUCUGCAAUAUUUCUCCCAUGGUUUUGGCAUUGUCUUGAAGAAUACCAUUUUCAUCAAUCAGAGGGCCAACAGUAGAACCAGUGACUCUGUGUUUUUUUGCAAAUGAAAAGAACACUUUGGGAUUGAGUUUGAUCUUCUCAAUGGCCCAGGCCUCUUCAGCUCUUCGCUGACUAUUGAUGAUAGACAUCAUGUUGUUUUGGAGUUUAUGUUUUUUAAUCUCUAGCGACGAGAUGGCAGUCAGGUUGGUGUGUUGCUGUUGACAGUAUUUCAGCAUGUUGAUCUUUUUGUUGAUUCUUUUAAUUUUCCUUAUGAGAGAUUUUCUAUUUCUAGGGAUUCGACACUUAGAUUUGUUUGCAGAUCUUAAUGGGGUGUGUCUUGCACAUAUGUUCGUGAUGGUGUCUACAAGUGACUGCCAGGACUUUUUGAUGUUAGUGGGUGUGUAUGUGUGCGUGAAGGACCAAUCGACUUGUGCAAGAUCAUUAUUGAUCGCUUCCCAGUUUGCAUUGUGGAAAUCCAUAGUGUCAAAUGGAUGAACAGGAGGGAUGACAUUUGUUUUGCAUUUUGGCCAGUGAAAUCUCAGAUCACAGAGAACCAUGUCAUGGUCGGAGAGUAGGGUUUUCUCCACUGCAAUAUUGUGGAUAGUAUCAGUGUGAUUGCUGAAAAUUAAGUCUAAGACGUUUUUGUGACAUCUCGUUGGUUCGAGUACCAGUUGGGACAAGAAGAAGUCAUCCAUGAAGUCAAGAAGCGAUUCCACUGCCUCCCUGUCAGGGGUUGAGAGAGAAAACCUGGCGGCAGACUGUUUGUAGACCAGUCAACCCCGGGAAGGUUGAAAUCUCCCAUCAUUAAAAUGUUGUCAGGUUGACACUGCUGAAUGAAACACUUUAUGCUGUUGAGGCAUUCCUUGAAGCAUGGUAGGGGCGUUUGGGGUGGUCUGUAGAGCCCAACUACUGUUAAGUUGUUGGUUUGACUGAAUACAGCGACUGCUUCGCAGUAUCCAUUCGAAAAUAUGUUCAUGGCUUCUGUUGAGAAUGAAUCAUGGACAUAAAUGGCAGUCCCACCCUUUCUUCUGCCAACACGAUCAGCACGAAUGGUUUUGAAAUUUUUAACUUUCACCUCGGCUUCCAAGUGGAGGUCACUAAGAUGGGUUUCAGUGAGGACGAAGAAAGGGAUGUGGUUUGGAUGGGCCUCGACCCAGUCCUCCAGGAAUCUUAUCUUCCAUUUUUGUGUAUUGGUGGAAGGGCUGAUGCCUUGGGCAUUAAGCAGAAAUGUUGAGGCGAGAGUGGAUGGUUUUAAUUGUUUUGGUGAUUUGUUUAUUUGAUUGCUUUUUAAUGGCAUGUGUAGUGGGGUAAUAGUGGUGGAUGGCGGUGGGUGAUAGCUCGGAUGUUUUUUUCCAGUUCUUUUGCUAGAUUCAUUAUAGCUAAAAAAGAGGAAGAAGAGGUGGUUUCCUGUCUAGGGAACCGCAGGUGACUGUGGCCGCGGCUAUUUUUAUGUGAGUGGUUAUCUUUAAAUGUCCAACGAGUCCCCGGGAGAUGGGUAAAGGGGCAAUCCCUGUGCAAACACAAUCUGUCUCGCUGGGAAUAGCGGCAGAUUUGGGGAUUCCUUGUUUGAGAUAUUGGUGGUUGUGGUGAUGUUGUAUUAUGGUGGUUGCUGUUGUAGUUUGUGGGGAUAGAGCGUUUUGUUCCAGGUAAAUGGGUGAAUUUGCAGUCUCUAUCAGUGCACAGUCUAUGGCGAAGAGAAUAUCGGCAAAUGAUGGGGUUUCGAGUGGGUGUGUAGGUGCGUGUGUGUGUGUGAGCUGUGAAGGGUGUAGAUGAUAGUUUGUUGAAGUUUUGGCGACCUUUGUGACCUGUAGGAGGUAAAUUCCUUGAGAUAGCAUUAGUAGUAGUAGCUGUAGUAGUAGUAGUAGUAGGUAGAAGAGAUGUUGACAGUGGUAAUGAUUGAGGAGGUCGAUUCCAAGACAAAGAUGUUUGUCGAAAUAUAGUGGGAGUAGUACUAGUAGUAGUAAGCAGAGGAGAUGGUGUUGACAAUGAUGAUGAUUGAGCUGCUGGGGCAGUGAAAGGAAGGGGUGGUGCUUCCUGCUGUGUGACCCUGAUGACUGGGGGGUCAAUCGUUUCAUUUAGCAAAUCGGCCAUUGUAGAUGAAUCAAGGAGUGGUUCAUCCUGUUGUUGUUGUUGAGGUUGUUGCUGCUGAAGUUGUUGUUGUUGCUGUAGCUGUUGUUGUUGUUGUUGCCGCUGAGUUUGUUGUUGUUGUUGUUGUUGCGCCGGUGAUGCGUUCGAAGAGAAAACACAUCUCAGUUUAUCGAAGUGUUUAUUUAUUAAUUUAAAAGCAACUUCGAUUUGUUUUAAUUUAUUUUGGAUCUGCUGUUCAGAUCGAGUUUGCAAAUGGUGAACUGUUCGUUUAGCAAUUUCGUUCAGACACGAAGCACCUAUGCUCUCUGUUUCGGUAAGGCCAUGCCAUGUGUUGAUAAGAACGUCGACUUCAUUAUCAGACCAGUUUUUGUUGGAUUUUUGGUGGCUAGCCAUUCUGGUUGUAUAUAUGUAUAUAUAUAUAUGUAUAUAUGUAUGUAUAUAUAUGUGUAUAUAUGUAUGUAUAUAUAUGUGUAUAUAUGUAUGUAUAUAUAUGUGUAUAUAUGUAUGUAUGUAUAUAUGUAUAUGUAUAUGUAUGUAUAUAUGUAUAUGUAUAUAUGUAUGUAUAUAUGUAUGUAUAUAUAUAUGUAUAUAUGUAUGUAUAUAUGUAUAUAUAUAUAUAUGUAUGUAUAUAUAUAUGUAUAUAUAUAUAUAUAUAUAUAUAUGUAUAUAUAUAUAUGUAUGUAUAUAUAUAUAUGUAUGUAUAUAUAUAUAUGUAUGUAUAUAUAUAUGUAUAUAUAUAUAUAUAUGUAUAUAUAUAUGUAUACAUAUAUAUAUAUGUAUAUAUAUAUAUGUAAAACUGUUUAUCAUAUUUGUUAUUUUAUCUUUUGAUUGUAAAAACAUUUUUUUUAACACAAGCAAACACUCGGCAUUAAUUAGACAUCAAUUAAAUACAUAUUCACAUCUCUAAACAACUAAGGUUUCUGUUGGAAUUUUCUUUUAACUAUGAGUAGAUACAAAACAGUCUAUCUGUGUGUGUGUAUAUAUAUAUAUAUAUACACAUGUGCACACACACAUAUACAAACAUACUCAAAUAGAUAUAUUUUAUUCUACCUAGUUUCCUUAUUUGUUUCACCUUAUCGAAUCACCUUUUAACUUGUUUUUUUUGUUAUCAAUUUUUCUUUUCAGAUCACAGAUAUACUUAAGACAUUAUGUUCAGUAUUAGAGUGCAUGGGACUGAAUG